ACAGGGAUUGCCUCAGUAACGGCGAGUGAAGCGGCAACAGCUCAAAUUUGAAAUCUGGUCCCCUCUGGGGGCCCGAGUUGUAAUUUGAAGAGGAUGCUUUUGGCGAGGCGCCUUCCGAGUGCCCUGGAACGGGACGCCACAGAGGGUGAGAGCCCCGUAUGGUAGGACGCCGAGCCUCUGUAAAGCUCCUUCGACGAGUCGAGUAGUUUGGGAAUGCUGCUCAAAAUGGGAGGUAAACCCCUUCUAAAGCUAAAUAUUGGCCAGAGACCGAUAGCGCACAAGUAGAGUGAUCGAAAGAUGAAAAGCACUUUGAAAAGAGAGUUAAACAGCACGUGAAAUUGUUGAAAGGGAAGCGCUUGCGACCAGACUUGCGCCCGUCGGAUCAACCGUCCCUCGUGGGCGGCGCACUCCGGCGGGCUCAGGCCAGCAUCAGUUUUCCUGGGGGUAGAAAGGCGGUGGGAAUGUAGCUCUUCGGAGUGUUAUAGCCCGCCGUGUAAUGCCCUCGGGGGGACUGAGGACCGCGCGUAUGCAAGGAUGCUGGCGUAAUGGUCGUCAGCGACCCGUCUUGAAACACGGACCAAGGAGUCGUCCUAAUAUGCGAGUGUACGGGUGUAAAACCCCUGCGCGUAAUGAAAGUGAACGGAGGUGAGAGCUUCGGCGCAUCAUCGACCGAUCCUGAUGUUCUCGGAUGGAUUUGAGUAAGAGCAUAUUGGGCCGGACCCGAAAGAAGGUGAACUAUGCCUGUAUAGGGUGAAGCCAGAGGAAACUCUGGUGGAGGCUCGCAGCGGUUCUGACGUGCAAAUCGAUCGUCAAAUAUGGGCAUGGGGGCGAAAGACUAAUCGAACCU
rnacentral:rRNA from 6 species